GCACCUUUAGCUCAGCUGGCAGAGCAACUGACUCUUAAUCAGUAGGCCCAGGGUUCGAAUCCCUGAAGGUGCACCA
rnacentral:tRNA from 1 species